UAAAAAGUUUAUAUGGUAUUAUUUUAAAGAAAUAGUCAUUCAUGCAGCUUUAAAUAGAUCUGAUGAAUACAGCGCCCUCCCCCAAUGUUAAGAAUUAUUUAUUACAGUGUAUAUGCUUUAUAUAUAGUAACAUUUUAUUUACAGUAGAGCCUCUUCAGCAUGGACCCCAGUUAUCCAUUGGCUUCAAGUUUUUACUGGAAACAAUUGUCAGACCCAUGUAGAAUAUUUGAUUCUUAAUGAUUAUCUAUGCAAAUGUCACCGUUUCUCAUUUUUAUUGAAAAUACUGCACGUUUUUCAUGUUAUGAUUUAAUCCACAUGUUCAAGGCUUGUUACAAUGUAUGUGUUUUCUUAAUUUGUAUAAGGGAGAUACUACUUCACCACAAUGAAUUUACGGUGUGAAUAUGCAAGAUCAUGCCAUACAAGUUAUUAAUAAAAUUUGUAAAA
rnacentral:misc_RNA from 1 species